rnacentral:rRNA from 1 species
UGUGGUCAAGUUUCUAAGAGCAAACGGUGGAUGCCUUGGCAUCUGGAGCCGAAGAAGGACGUAGAAAUCUGCGAUAAGCCUCGGGGAGCUGAUAAUCGAGCCCUGAUCCGAGGAUCUCCGAAUGGGGAAACCCCGCCAGGCGUUAUGUCUGGUGACUCCCGCCUGAAUAUAUAGGGCGGGUAGAGGGAACGUGGGGAAGUGAAACAUCUCAGUACCCACAGGAAGAGAAAACAACAGUGAUUCCGUCAGUAGUGGCGAGCGAAAUCGGAAGAGGCUAAACCGGUCAUGUGUGAUAGACGGCGGUCGUUGCAUGGUCGGGGUUGUGGGACCCGUUGUCCUGUUCUGCCGGACAGGAGCAGUUACAGCGCAGUAUAGGCGAACAGCUUUGAAUGGCUGGUCAUAGAGGGUGCGAACCCCGUAGCCGAAAUGCUGGCGCUGGCUGAAUGGGUAUCCCAAGUAGCUCGGGGCCCGAGAAAUCCCGUGUGAAUCUGUCAGGACCACCUGAUAAGCCUAAAUACUCCCAGAUGACCGAUAGCGGACAAGUACCGUGAGGGAAAGGUGAAAAGUACCCCGGGAGGGGAGUGAAAUAGUACCUGAAACCGUUUGCUUACAAACCGUUGGAGCCUCCUUGUAGGGGUGACAGCGUGCCUUUUGAAGAAUGAGCCUGCGAGUUAGCGAUAUGUGGCGAGGUUAACCCGUGUGGGGUAGCCGUAGCGAAAGCGAGUCUUAAUAGGGCGAUCCAGUCGCAUGUCCUAGACCCGAAGCGAAGUGAUCUAUCCAUGGCCAGGUUGAAGCGACGGUAAGACGUCGUGGAGGACCGAACCCACUUAGGUUGAAAACUGAGGGGAUGAGCUGUGGAUAGGGGUGAAAGGCCAAUCAAACUUCGUGAUAGCUGGUUCUCUCCGAAAUGCAUUUAGGUGCAGCGUUGCGUGUUUCUUGCCGGAGGUAGAGCUACUGGAUGGCCGAUGGGGCCCAAAAGCUUACUGACGUCAGCCAAACUCCGAAUGCCGGUAAGUGAGAGCGCAGCAGUGAGACGGUGGGGGAUAAGCUUCAUCGUCGAGAGGGAAACAACCCAGACUACCAACUAAGGUCCCUAAGCGUGUGCUAAGUGGGAAAGGAUGUGGAGUUGCAUAGACAACCAGGAGGUUGGCUUAGAAGCAGCCACCCUUGAAAGAGUGCGUAAUAGCUCACUGGUCAAGUGAUUCCGCGCCGACAAUGUAACGGGGCUCAAGCACACCACCGAAGUUGUAGAUUUCGUAUUAUAGACAAGCCUUCGUGGUUCAGUCGUACGGAGUGGUAGGAGAGCGUCGUGUGGCCAGUGAAGCGGCGGUGUAAACCAGCCGUGGAGGCCACACGAGUGAGAAUGCAGGCAUGAGUAGCGAAAGACGGGUGAGAAACCCGUCCUCCGAAAGACCAAGGGUUCCAGGGCCAGGUUAAUCCGCCCUGGGUAAGUCGGGACCUAAGGCGAGGCCGACAGGCGUAGUCGAUGGACAACGGGUUGAUAUUCCCGUACCGGCGAAGAACCGCCCAAGCUAAUCCAGUGGUGCUAAGAGUCCUAACCCGGCUGAGUGGAUCCCUUCGGGGUGAUGCCGGCCGGUCUAACGCUCGACCCCAUGCUGGUGCGGUUAACGUAUUAACAGGUGUGACGCAGGAAGGUAGCUGAGCCAGGCGAUGGUAUCCGUAAGGUGAACCUGGUGUAAGGAUGUAGGGCUGACGAUAGGCAAAUCCGUCGUCAAUGCGCCUGAGAUCCGAUGCGUACCCCGAUUGGGGGAAAUCAGUGAUCCUAUGCUGCCGAGAAAAGCAUCGACGUGAGGUUCAAGCCGCCCGUACCCCAAACCGACUCAGGUGGUCAGGUAGAGAAUACCAAGGAGAUCGAGAGAAUCGUGGUUAAGGAACUCGGCAAAAUGCCCCCGUAACUUCGGGAGAAGGGGGGCCGGAACCGUGAUGGGAUUUACUCCCGGAGCGGGAAAGGCCGCAGAGACCAGUGGGAAGCGACUGUUUACUAAAAACACAGGUCCGUGCCAAGUCGCAAGACGAUGUAUACGGACUGACGCCUGCCCGGUGCUGGAAGGUUAAGAGGAAGGGUUAGCGCAAGCGAAGCUCAGAAUUUAAGCCCCAGUAAACGGCGGUGGUAACUAUAACCAUCCUAAGGUAGCGAAAUUCCUUGUCGGGUAAGUUCCGACCUGCACGAAUGGCGUAACGACUUC